rnacentral:rRNA from 1 species
GACGAACGCUGGCGGCGUGCUUAACACAUGCAAGUCGAACGGAAAGGCCCUGCUUUCGUGGGGUGCUCGAGUGGCGAACGGGUGAGUAACACGUGAGUAACCUGCCCUUGACUUUGGGAUAACUUCAGGAAACUGGGGCUAAUACCGGAUAGGAGCUCCUGCUGCAUGGUGGGGGUUGGAAAGUUUCGGCGGUUGGGGAUGGACUCGCGGCUUAUCAGCUUGUUGGUGGGGUAGUGGCUUACCAAGGCUUUGACGGGUAGCCGGCCUGAGAGGGUGACCGGCCACAUUGGGACUGAGGUACGGCCCAGACUCCUACGGGAGGCAGCAGUGGGGAGUAUUGCCCAAUGGGCGGAAGCCUGAUGCAGAAACGCCGCGUGCGGGAUGACGGCCUUCGGGUUGUAAACCGCUUUCGCCUGUGACGAAGCGUGAGUGACGGUAAUGGGUAAAGAAGCACCGGCUAACUACGUG